UACGUAGGGGGCAAGCGUUGGUCCGGAAUCAUUGGGCGUAAAGAGCGUGUAGGCGGCCCGGUAAGUCCGCUGUAAAAGUCCAGGGCUCAACCCUGGAAAGCCGGUGGAAACUGUCGGGCUAGAGUCCGGAAGAGGCGAGUGGAAUUCCUGGUGUAGCGGUGAAAUGCGCAGAUAUCAGGAGGAACACCAAUGGCGAAGGCAGCUCGCUGGGACGGUACUGACGCUGAGACGCGAAAGCGUGGGGAGCAAACAGG
rnacentral:rRNA from 1 species